rnacentral:tRNA from 1 species
AGGGAUUUAGCUCAAUGGUUCCAGCAUCUGCCUUGCAAGCACAAGGACCCAAGUCUAAUCCCUG